AGAGUUUGAUCCUGGCUCAGGAUGAACGCUGGCGGCGUGCCUAAUACAUGCAAGUCGAGCGGCAGCGGGCUCACUAUUUCCUUGGAAGGGAAUUGUGAGCGCCGGCGAGCGGCGGACGGGUGAGUAACGCGUGGGAAUCUACCCCAAACUGAGGGAUAACUCCGGGAAACCGGUGCUAAUACCGCAUAUGGCCUUCGGGUUAAAGUUUUAUACGGUUUGGGAAGAGCUUGCGUUGGAUUAGUUUGUUGGUGAGGUAAUGGCUUACCAAGACUACGAUCCAUAGCUGGUCUGAGAGGAUGAUCAGCCACACUGGAACUGAGACACGGUCCAGACUCCUACGGGAGGCAGCAGUAGGGAAUCUUCCACAAUGGACGAAAGUCUGAUGGAGCAACGCCGCGUGCAGGAUGAAGGCUUUCGAGUCGUAAACUGCUUUUAUGAGUGAAGAUUUUGACGGUAACUCAUGAAUAAGGAUCGGCUAACUCCGUGCCAGCAGCCGCGGUCAUACGGAGGAUCCAAGCGUUAUCCGGAAUUACUGGGCGUAAAG
rnacentral:rRNA from 1 species